UUUAUGUCCCCCUCCCCACUUCAUAUUGAAGUCCCGGUGCCCAGUACCCGAGACAGUGACCUCAUUUGGAGACACCAUCUUUACAGAGGGGACGUGGGUUCGAUCCCUGGACCGGGAACUAGGAUCCCACAUGCUGUGGAGCAGCUAAGCCCUACACAGUGGAACUAAAGAACCUGCAUGCCGCAACUGAGACCCAGCACAGCCAAAAGCACAUCAAUAUGUACAUUUUAAGAGAGAGCUGGAAACACACACACAUACACGGAGAACGCCAUGUGAAGAUGAGAGCAGAGAUUGGAGCGAUGCUCCUGCAAGCCAGGGAACACCAAAGGCCCCCAGGGAGCCUCCAGAAGCGAGGCGAGAAGCACGAACAGAUUUCUUGCCAGCACUCAGAAGGAGCACCCUCCCAGCAACUCGGUCCUGGACUUCUGGCCUCCAGAACUGUGAGACACAUACUUCUGUUGUUCACCCAGUUUGUGAUACUUUGUUAAGGAAGCUGGAGCAAACUAUGACAGAGGUUGAUGACAAGUACACAGACCUUAGUCCUCUCACCUGAUUAAUGAAUCGCUUCCGAAGCGGAUGCCCUUUGAUAAGCUUUCACACGGGGGCAGAUCUCUGUCUGCACCCACUUUGAGAGGUGGUCCAUCUACUCACUUCUUCCCCAGGCUUUCUUGUCAGAAACUCCCAAUUCUCUUUGGUGUCCUCCAGCCAAAGUGUUAGCCACUGUCUAAAUUAGAGUAAAUCCAUCUCUCUGGCCAUCUCUCCCUCUACACAUAGUCGACAGCCAAGCACGUUGCUCCGAGCUCUGCAGCCUGGGUGGAGGCUCCUUCACCAGCACCCUUCAGGGUCACUGCUGAGUGGGGCCGCAGUGCACUUCCAGGGAGAACCAGCAUAUCGACAGACCCACAGACAAUCAGGCUUGAGUGUUUCUUACUCCGCAGCCCAAGAGGCCUCAGGCAUAGGCUGAGAGAAGGGAGGCAAGGCGAUGCAACUGGAAUUGGUGUUGGAGUCACUUUCUACUCUUAUUACUGGGUUGGCCAAAAAGUUCAUUUGUAACAUCUUCUAGGAAAACCCAACGAACUUUAUGGCCAAUCCAACGCUUGUGCCUCCUGGGCCUGCCUGAGCUUGAGUCUUUCAUUCAGACCAUGCGAUGAUGGAAAAGCUACUGGACACAUCAAACCUUCUGGCUUAGUGGGUCAAACAACACUUAGCUCAUGAUGGGAAACUCAUGCUGAGUGGUCACUGGAUGUCCAUGGAUGGGGAUUCACUCUCCACUGAAUCCAAAUGCACACCAGCAGUUUCUCAGAAGGAAAAUAGUCAGCUGAAGAAGAGAGCGGAGGGUUGCUCCAGACAUCUGGCUGUGCUUUUCCUAAGGAUGCUGUCAUGGGUAUUUUGAGCAUCACUGGAUCUGCCAGAUUAUAGGUGGUAAUCUACACAAUAGGUACAGCGGCUUGUGUGGAAGAGUGGCCUCCACCUGCAGAGCCUUCCCUUGCUCUGGUCUCUUCUUGAAACUGGCUACCAACAGGGAACUCUGCAGAUGGGUCAUCUCACAGCACACCAAGCUGUGUUGCUUCCAAAGUCUAAAAAGACCUACCAAGAAUUUGCCUCUUUUUUUUCAUGAAAGUGAAAGUCACGCAGUCAUGUCCAACUCUUUGUGACCCCAUGGACUAUACAGUCCUGGAAUUCCCCAGGCCAGAAUACUGGAGUGGAUGGCCUUUCCCUUCUCCAGGGAAUCUUCCCAACCCAGGGAUCAAACCCAGGGCUCCACAUUGCAGGCAGAUUCUUUACUAGCUGAGCCACAAGGGAAGCACUUUUUUCACGGUAGCUGGUAAAACAUGGAGCAAUUUCCCUUUCUUCUUAGAGGGGAUGUAUUAAAAUUCUCCAUACCAAAUAAUUCCCAGAAAUUUAAAAUCACAGGUCCCUAAAUUUUUUUGGUGGGGGAGGGGUUAUCACCCAUCCUAUAGUUCACAUGUAUCUUAUUAACAUAUCUGAAGUACUUCCUAUUUCCUGUUUAUCAGAUCUAAUCAGCAUGAUGUCAUCAAUGGGUCGACCAGUUGUAAUGUUCAGUUGAAUAAGAUCAAUUCAUAGAGAUGAAAAAUACAAUGGUGGUUGUGAGGGGCUAGGAUGAGGAGGGAAUGGGGAGUUAUUAUUUAAUGGGAACUGAGUUUAAAUUUUGCGAGAGGAAAAAAAUUCUUAAAGAUGGUGGUGAUGGUUGCAUAACAGCAUAAAUGUACUCAGUGCUCCUAAACUGUAUACGUAAAAUUGGUUAAAACAGGAAGUUUUAGGUUAUGUGUAUAUUACCACAAUGUAAAAAAGAAUUUCUUUCUGCAAAAAGUAAGCUAAGCAUAGAUUAAAACAGAAAAUUUUUGUGUUUUUGUGUGACUGUAUUUUAAAAAGUCAGUGUGUUAAGACCUUGAUACUAUCAAGAGUAGACAAAAGAUUAGCAGCAUGGCAUUCCCCUGAACAUUUUUAGAAAUGCAGAAUGCCUGCCUUAGACUUUCUGGAUUAGAAUUCAUAAAGGAAGAAUUCCUAGGUGACUCAUACGCAAAUGAAAUGCUUUCCUCAGCUUUUAAAAAAGCACCGGUUACAAAUAAUAAGAAAGAUAGUAGAGAUCUCUGUGGAGUAUACUGUGGCAGAGAGCAGUAGAAUUUACAGAGUUUAGAGGCAACAUUGUUAAGGUAUACUGCUGGUCCUGCCAGGUAAAAGCAAACUGUUUCUGAUGGUCCCUGAUAAUCAGUACAGAGAAGAAGACAAUGACGAGUCUAAUAGUCACAUGCCGAGUGCCAGGGCCGUUGUGAUUUGCCCCAGUAAACCUGCUACAUCUGGGACAGCAGAUACAAGUGGAGUCACCGCCUGAUUCCAUUUCUCACAGUCCAGAGUCCUUCUCCCAGAUCCAUCCAACAUCUGCACAGGCUAAGCUGGCUAGUCAGGUGUGUGGGAACGUAAUAGGCAUUCCCAUUCCUGCUUCUUUCAAGUCUUCAUGGUGGCAGUAAUCUUUGCAGUUGCCCAGGGACACAAUCAGGGGUAGGACCAGGAUCAAACAGUGAAGCACCAGGACACAAACUUUAAAGAGGUGCUCAUCUCAGGAUCACACAAAUACCAAGCCCGCACAUAAAAUUGGUGCCCUAGGUGCCUCACUCCUUAGAUGACACUCACUCCCAGGGUCACAUGAGAAAAGUGUUGGGAAUUAAGACAUGCACCCACCAUUGGUGUGACUGUAACUUAGCACAAAAUUUCUCAAGGACAUUUCAAUAUUUAUUUUUAAUAAUGUAUUCCAAGGUUUCAAAAUUAUCUUGUAACUCCUCACCAGAUUUGUUGUGUCCUGUGAAAUUUUUAAGUUUCAAUUUAUAUUCUUACCAGGUCAGCAAGGCAACUAUCAUUCAAAAAAAUCAAAUAAUAGUUCUAAGCUCAUAAUUUAAAAGUCAGUUCUCUGCCCCCUGCUACCCCCACCACCGCAGGCAGCCCCUUUCACUCUACCUGUGAAUUCUGGUGUUCCUCCUUGAUUUUUAGUUUUAAGCGUUCUCUACUGAGGUGCUGUCAUAUAGGUCUUAAACAAUUCUUUUCAAACUUAUUACUAGGCUUUUCAUGGUUUUAGCCAAUAUUGUGAAUCAGACCUUUUCCUAUAAAAAUUAUCUUAUAAGAUCCUGGGCAAAAAGUGUUAAUCUAAAGAGUUUCAUACAGACAUUUGUUUUCUAAUCAGUGAACUUAUCAGAUUGUGUCAUUUGUUCUAAAGGGCUUUCAGUUUCUUUGAUUUUCUGAGUGAACAAUCCUGUCAUUUGGGGACAUUAUACAUGUAUACGUGCAUUGUGUAAUCUCUGUACAAAAUACACCUUGGAGAAGAUUCUGGGAAGAUGAUAGAAGAAGAACAAGAACUCUGUCUCCCCACCUAGACAACAAUCACAUGGACAGAGUCUUUCUGAUGCAAUUAAUUUGGAACUCUGGAGUCUGUUGAAGGAGCCUGAACUGCAUAGUUGGGGGAACUUCGGAAGUGACACCACAUACCCAGGAAAGACUCAGUAAGAUAUUAUAUUCACACCUCAGGCUAAUCCUCUGCACAGAAACAGCCUGCAACAAUAAAAGGAAAAACAAUAACAAAACCCAGAAAACCCUGGGGAAGGAGGAAAAUCUGAUUUCCAGAGUUACUACAUUAUGACUGGAAAUGCCCACUGUACAACCAAAAAAUCGCAAGACAUAGAAAGAAACAGGAACAUACGGCCCAUUCACAGGAGAAAAGUAACCAACAGAAACUAUUUCUGUAAAAGACCUGAUGGCAGAUAAACUCGACCAAGACUUUAAAACAAUUAUCUUAAAGAAGCUCAAAAACAGGAAGAUGCAAAGAAAGUCAAGGAAACAAUGCGGGAACAAAAUGAAAAUAUCAGUAAAGAGAAAACCUAAAAAGAACUCCCUCCUCCCCAAAAUCCUGGAGCUGAAAAGUACAAUUUAUUGUUGUUCAGCUGCUAAGUCAUGUCUGACUCUUUGCAACCCCAUGGACUACAGCAGGCCAGGCUUCCCUGUCCUUCACUAUCUCCCAGAGUUUGCUCAGAUUCAUGUCCAAUGAGUCAGUGAUGCCAUCCAACCAUCUCAUCCAAUUUUUCCCUGCUCUUCCUGCCUUCAGUUUUUCCCAGCAUCAGGGUCUUUGCCAGUGAGUUGGCUCUUCACAUCGGGUGGUUGAAGUAUGGGAGCUUCAGCUUCAGCAUCAGUCCUUCCAAUGAAUAUUCAGGGUUGAUUCCUUAGGAGUGACUGGUUUGACCUUGCUGUCCAAGAGACUCUCAAGAGUCUUCUCUAGCACCACAAUUUAAAAACAUCAACAUUUGGUACCCAGCCUUCUUUAUGGUCCACUUCUCACAUCUGUACAUGACUAUUGAAAAAACCAUAGCUUAACUAUACAGACCUUUGUCUGCACAGUGAUGUCUCUGGUUUUUAAUACACUGUCUAGGUUUACAUAGCUUUCCUUCCAAGGAGCAAGUGUCUUUUAAUUUCAUGGCUGCAGUCACUCUCUGCAGGGAUUUUGGAGCCCAAGGAAAGAAAAUCUGUUACUGCUUCCACUGUUUCCCCUUCUAUUAGCUAUGAAGUGAUGGGACCAGAUGCCAUGAUCUUUUUUUUUUUUUAAUGUUGAGUUUCAAGGCAGCUUUUUCACCCUCCUGAAAACAGCAAGAGAGAAGUGAAUCAUCACAUCAUCACAUACAAGGGAUUUUCAAUAAGACCAUCACCAGAUUUCUCACCAGAAGAUCUGGAGGCCAUGGGACUUCCCUGGUGGCCAUGUGACUAAGACUGCGUUCCCAAUGCAGGGGGCUCGGGUUCCAUCCAUAGUCAGGGAACUAGGUCCCACAUGCCACCACUAAAGAUCCUACAUGCUGCAGCUAAGGCCUGGUACAGCGAGAUAUAUAUAUAAAAUUUUGUAAGCCAGAAGGCAGUGGGCCGAUAUAUGCAAAUGCUAAAAUGUAAAAACCUGUCCACCAAGAGUCGUAUAUCCAGCAAAACUGUCCUUCAAAAGUGAGAGAGAAAUGAACACGUGCGUGUGUGCUAAGUGGCUUUAGCUGUGUCUGCCUCUUUGUGACUUCAUGCACUGUAGCUCAGCAGACUCCUCUGUCCAUGGGGUUUUUCAGGCAAGAAUGCUGGAGUGGGUUGUCAUGGCCUCCUCCAAGAGCUCUUCCUGACCCAGCGAUCAAAGCUGCUUCCUUUAUGUCUCCUGCAUUGGCAGGCAGAUUCUUACCACUAGCACCACCUGGGAAGACCAGGAAUGAUCAUACUCCCUAAUAAACAAAAUUGAGAGACUCCAUGACCACUAGACCUGACCUGCACGAGAUGCUCAAAGGAGUCAUCCAAGGUGAAGUGAAAGGGCAUUAGACGGUAACCUGAAGCCACAUGGAGAAGUUUAGAUCCUAGUAAAGGUAAAUACAUGAGCAAUUAUAAAAGCUAGUGUUAUUGUAAGAGUGGUUGGUACCUGUACCUUUGCUUGUUUUCUACCGAAUUAAGUGAUGGAUACACUAAAAAAAAACAAAACAAAACAAAAACAGUUUCUAGUGCAAAGCUAGUAUUACUAUAACUUUGGUUUGGAACUCCAAAUCUUGUUUUCCAUGAAACUUAGGAGAAUAAUGCACUUAAAAGAAUUAAUGGUUUAUAUUUUGGGGAAGACAUGUGUAAAGUAAGUACAUAACAUUAAACUUUUGAUUGCAAUGUAAGUGCUGAGGCAUCUGUUUCAGAAGACAUCCAUUUUAAAUAAACAUAUUACCAGCUGUAUGAAACAGCUACUAUCAAAACAGCAAGUUAAGGAACUAGGCCUCCCACACUCAAGAAGCUCCCCUUUCGGAACACUGUGGGAAACCUAGAAAACUGACAAAGUGGAGGAAAACUAAACCCUAACUCCUGCUCUCGUGCUUUAAUGACGAGUGACCCAUGCAACCCCAGACUCCAUCUUUGGACCACGACAAGGGCAAGCCCCCACAUUCUGUGUCUCUCUCUUUCUCUCCCACAACCUGUGUGGUCCUCGGUGUGCUGUGCACCCUCCAGGAACUGUGAGUAAUAAAGCUUGUUCCUCAAAGUUCCCUGAAAGGUUUUUGCUGACGUGUGUCUGCAAUCGUAACGAGAAACACGAGGCCAGCCCAGUCACAGCACUGUUCCUGGUGGCAGAAGGCCCGUGGUGUUCACUGUGACAGCCGCAGCCAGUGCCUCAGGUACUCCUAGCCGAGAGCACCCGGUUAACAGCCUGGGACAGACACAACAACAACGUUUAAUGAUGCAGUUUUGAGAUACUGACCAAGAAAGAAGAGCUGUCAGGGCGUAGAGACCCAUAUGUCAUUAAUGUUAAGCUGGUAUAAAUUUAAAUUUGGGUGUUAUAACUUUAGGAUGUUAAAUGGAAUCCCCAUGGUAAACACAAAGAAGCCAGCUAUAUAAUAUACACAAAAGGAAAUGAGAAAAGAAUGUAAACAUUUCAUUAUAAAAAAAAAAUCAACCAAUCAUGAAAGGAGACAGUCGUGCAGGAAAUGAGGGACAGACAAGCUGUGAGACAUAAAGAAAGUCCUUAAGCAUUUCCCUAACCUAGGAGGUGUACAAUGCAAACUACAAGACACUGCCGAAAGAAAUUAAAGAAGAAACAAGUAAACGGCAACACAUCCCAUGUUCACGGAUUGCAAAACUUAAUAUUGUCAAGCUACGAAUACUAUCCCAAGUGAUCUACAGAGCCAGUGCUAUCCCCAUCAAAAUCCCAAAUUCUUCAGAGUAAUGACACUUCUAGAAUAUGCAGAAAUAGAAAUUCCCAUUCUAAAAAUCGCGUGAAUUCUCAAGGGACCCCAAAUGGC
ensembl:lncRNA